rnacentral:rRNA from 1 species
UUUCCUCAGGUGAACCUGCGGCAGGAUCAUUG